ACAACCUCAAACAGUCACACUCCAAACUUCACUAUGUCAAAGACCAAAGAGCUGUCAAAAAUCCCAGAACCACACGGGGGGACCUAGUGAAUGACCUGCAGAACGUGUCCCCCUUUUUAAACCAGUACAUGUCCAGGCCCGUCUGAGGUUCGCUAGAGAGCAUUUGGAUGGUCCAGAAGAGGAUUGGGAGAAUGUCAUAUGGUCUGUUGAAACCAAAAUAUAACUUUUUGGUAAAAACCCAACUCGUCGUGUUUGGAGGAGAAAGAAUACUGAGUUGCAUCCAAAGAACACCAUACCUACUGUGAAGCAUGGGGGUGGAAACAUCAGGCUUUGGGGCUGUUUUUCUGCAAAGGGACCAGGACGACUGAUCCGUGUAAAGGAAAGAAUGAAUGGGGCCAUGUAUCGUGAGAUUUUGAGUGAAAACCUCCUUCCAUCAGCAAGGGCAUUGAAGAUGAAACGUGGCUGUGUCUUUCAGCCUGACAAUGAUCCCAAACACACUGCCCGGGCAACGAAGGAGUGCCUUCGUAAGAAGCAUUUCAAGGUCCUGGAGUGGCCUAGCCAGUCACCAGAUCUCAACCCCAUAAAUCUCUGGAGGUAGUUGAAAGGCUGUGUUGCCCAGCGACAGCCCCAAAACAUCACUGCUUUAGAGGAGAUCUGCAUGGAGGAAUGGGCCAAAAUACCAGCAACAGUGUGACCAGCAAAACGUUUGACCUCUGUCAUUGCCAACAAAGGCUAUAUAACAAAGUAUUGAGAUGAACUUUUGUUAUUGACCAAAUACUUAUUUUCCACCAUAAUUUACCAAUAAAUUCCUAAAAAAUCCUACAAUGUGAAGUGUACCUAUGGUGAAAAUUACAGGCUUCUCUCAUCCUUUUAAGUGGGAGAACUUGCACAAUUGGUGACUGACUAAAUACUUUUUUGCCCCACUGUAUAUACACUACUGAUCAAACGUUUUGGGUGACUUUGAAUUUUCUUUGUCUUUCAAAAGAAAAUAACAUUUGUUGUUCAUUAAAAUAACUAAUUGGUCAGAAUUACAAUGUUUUUGUAAAUCACUAUUAUAUCUAGUAUCUGGAAACGGCAGAUUUGUAAUGGAAGACCUGCAUAGACGUAUAGAGGCCCAUUAUCAGCAACCAUCAGUCCUGCUUUCCAAUGGAAUGUUGUGUUUGCUAAUCCAGGUUUAUUAUUUCAAAAGGCUGAUCGAUCAAUAGAAAACUAUUUUGUAAUUAUGUUAGCACAUCUGAAAAAUUGUGCUGAUUAAAGAAGUGAUAAAAAAUGGAGCAUCAGAAAUGGUGGGUUUGAUUACAGGUUCAAAAUGGACAGAAACAAAGAGCUUUCCCCUGAAACUAUUCAGUUAUUUGUUCUGCAAAAUGAAGGCUAUUCCAUGCAAGAAAUUGUUAAGAAAUCCUGGGUAAUACUCCCUUCACACAACAGUGCAAAUUGGCUCUACAGUGCACAUGCUUGCCUUCUAGGCAGAGUUGCAAAAAAAAAAAAAAUCUGAAUGGUCAAUAAAAAGAAAACCUCAAGAUGGGCAAAAGAACACUCCAUCCAUAUCAUCCCAUUUUGCAACGCCAUGCUGUUCCCUGUGGACGGCACUUGAUUGGAGCCAAUUUUCUCCUAGAACAGGACAAUGACCCAAAGUACAGCUCCAAACCAUGCAUGAACUAUUCAGGGAAGAAGCAGUCAGCUGGUAUUCUGUCUAUAAUGAGGUGGCCAUCACAGUCACCAGAUCUCACCCCUAUUGAGCUGUUGUGGGAGCAGCUUGACCAUAUGGUACUCAAGAAGUGCUUAUCAAGCCAGUCAAACUUGUGAGAGGUGCUACAGGGAGCAUUGGAGUGAAAUCUCUUCAGAUUCUCUCAAAAAAGUGACCCCAAACUUUUGAACGGUAGUGUAUGUAUAUAUAUGUAUUCUGUCAUGUACUGUAAUCUCUCUGAAUGCCUCUAUCUUAUAUUGGUCUGGAAGUCCUUUUGAAGGAGCGGCUUGAGGAGGGCAGCAUUGCUGGCUGGUGCUCUCUGCUGGAUUUCCUCUUUGUCACAACACCCUUGAUGCUUGUGUCCAAUGCUUAGUUAUUAACAGCAUGGUGUCCUAAGCCCAAUGAAGGAUUAUCCACAAAAAAAAAAUAUUUACUCCAAAAUUGGCUUAAACGUUCAUGUUAACAGUAUGCUUAUUUAAAAUAAAUGUUAUCAUACUCGCUGUCAAGUGGCAUUCUUCUCUAAUCAUUCCUUAAGGUCCUGUAGUAAUCGGUCAGAAGGCAGUUUGACCUGUUGUCCUAAUGCAAUGUAGUGUCUUAUAUUUUCAUUGUUAAUAUGACAAUUUGUUCUCAGUGCCAUCAGAAAUGGCUGUUGUGUUGAUCUACCAGUCUGUUACACUGAAGGAGUUGAUAGCAGAACAGAGCCUCCGGUUUGGCGGCCUGGUACCAGCUGUAACCCUGUGCCAGGUCCUUACAGAAUUUGCAUCAUGUUUGGC
ensembl:lncRNA